GGGUGCGAUCAUACCAGCACUAAAACACCGAAUUCC
rnacentral:rRNA from 2 species